rnacentral:tRNA from 1 species
AGGGAUGUAGCUCAGUGGCAGAGCACUUGCCUAGCAAGCGUAAGAGCCCGGGUUCCAUCCCUA